ACAGUGCACCUGUGGGUCCCACCGGAACCGGAUCCGCCGGGUAACCCGUGUUGGUAUUAUUUUGGGGUUAACUUCCCCACGUAAUCGAGUGUUACGCGAUUCGUUAGACUGCUAAGAUUUCUUCUCUACCGUUUAAGCAUCUAAUCAACGUCUUUUUAACGGUGGAUUAAGCAAGAGGAAUCCGAGACCACCACGUAAGAGAAGCCGAUCCCCCCUUGUUUUACGCCGCCCUUUUCUGCAGCUCCACAGUAUCUUUGCAUUGUUAUGUAAUGGAUAAUGCCCUUGACAUUGUCGAUGAACAGCUGCUAGAAUUUACACCUUGUUAUUGGUCAAAUUUGUUUUAAUCGAAUGCCAACACUGAUGUGGUUUUUUGUGUCGUUGUCAUCUUCUCCAUGGACGUGCCCAAAUGGGAUCGUCAAUGAAUGCACCAGAUCCAAAUGGUAUCAUCCUCUUCCUCUGAACCUUUCUUGGUCACAUAUGGAUUCGUGAAGCUAAUGGACGAGCAACCAAACCAGGACCCAUGUACUUCAAUGGCGUCUACCACCUCUUCUACCAGUACAACCCCAAUGGCUCCGUGUGGGGUAACAUCGUGUGGGCCCACUCGGUGUCGACCGACCUCGUCAACUGGAUAGCACUCGACCCGGCCAUCCGCCCCAGCAAGCCAUUCGACAUCAACGGAUGCUGGUCCGGCUCCGCCACAGUCCUCCCCGGCAACAGGCCUGCGAUCUUNNNNNNNNNNNNNNNNNNNNUUAUUAAGAUUGGGUUUAGAAUUUUAUUUGGUGUGCAUAUGUUAGGUAAUAGAUAAUUUUGUGUAAGAAUUUAAGUUUGAAACUAAUUUUUAAGAAGGUGUUAGUCAAUUAAGUUGGUAAAAAUCUCGAUAGUUUAUCAUUAAAAAAAUUGAUAUUGUGUUUAUAUCAAGCUCAAAUUUGAACUUUGAAUCUAAUUUAUAGUUUACCAGUUUCGACAUUGAUUGUCUCGAUUCUCAAAUCAACGAUUUUAGUUUCAGAAAUGAUCGAUUUCGAUUCUUAAAUAAUUAAAACAAGAAUCGAAAUGAAUUGAAAUAAAAAUCUCUAAUUACAUAUAAGUAAUUAGAGAUUGGGGCUAAGUAGGAAUUUUGAUUUAGGAUUAACUAUAAGAUCAAAUUUUUAACAUUUAGAAUCCAUAUAAAUAAAAAAUAAUACAUUCUAUAAAAUCUGAUUUAUCAUUCGUCACUGUUCCUAUCAUACAUUUAUGUAUAAUUAAAUAUAGAAUUCGAUUUAGCAUUUGGAAUAUCUAUGGAGUCUUCCUCUUAUAAAUCAACACAUGAAAUAUCCCCAAUCAUCAUCAAAAAGUCACUUCACAUUAAUCGUCAUCAAAGACAUUCACUCCACGAACACAUAUGAUGAUGAUGAUGAUGAUGAUGUUGGGAGCUGCCCCAUCAAGUAGGAUGAUAGCUUCAUCUGCCGACUAAAAGUACUCAAAGCAUGCACUCAGUAUGAGCCAUACUGUGUUACUCCGACUACUGAUAGGAUUUUGCAGGUAUGGAGAAGCAAUAGAGGCCACAUGAAAGAGAGACUGGGAUACUGUGGAUUCCGAUUGGAAGGAUGCAGUCUCGCCACCAAGACAUGUCGAGCAUCACUCUCAUUUUUCCUGUUUCUGUCUGAGAUGUUGUGGGGCACAUCAAAUUAUUCAGAUAUUCUAAAAAAAAAAUAGCCAUCUGAUUUGGAUUAUUGUGUCUAUAAAGAAUCUUGCAAUUGUAUUUGUGGUUGGAUCGAAAUGUUAUUUGUUGAGCAUCAAUUUUGUUUAUUAAUUUAUUUUAAAUAAAUUAAUAAAAAUAAUAAUGAUGUGACGAACACCUCAUCGUUAUGUGUAAUUAAUAUGAGAAGAUCGACAUCUCGAUGUCAAAUGAUCGACGUUACAACUUUAAAUGGUUAACACCUUAUUCUCAAGUGGGUGACACCUCGAUGCUAUGUAGUGGACAUUCGAUGCUAGGUAAUUGACACAUCGAUAUCACAUACUCAGUAUUUUUAUCAUAUAUAAUUGAAUAUGACAUCAUCUCCCAAAUAUUACUGACUAUAUAUCGUGCCUUUUGUAUGUUUCUCAAAUUCUUCAUAAUAUUAUUCUACUAAAGCAACAUAAUAUACGGAGUCAUCACCAACAUCAAUACACAUCUAUAAGCAUAAUAGUCCUUAAGCCACACUAUAAAAUGUCCCUUUAGGUGUAUUCUAAAAUAUUUUAAAAAAAUUUCUCUCAUUCAAAUAUUAAAAUAUUCGACACUUUGCCAAUAACUUAACUUUUCAUGUAACUUAAGCAUAAGAAGAAUUUUAUCGAACAUGCCCAAACGUAACUUUACAGAUUGAUAUGUCCUAGAUUUGAUUAUUCACGAUACUAACGAGAGAUAGACGUGAAAUAAAUACUAUAACAAAAUGUGACUUUGCAUUGCGGAUAAGGGCUUGUAGUUUUUAUUCAUCGUAGUUAUAAAUAUCUGAUAGCGAUAGAUAUUGUUUCUACCAUUUUAAAUUAUAUUUUUAUUUGUAAUUCUUUAAGACCAUAGUAAUAGAUGAAUCAAAGAGUAGGAAUAGGACCAAAUAUGUUAUUCAUUACUGUUUUGGUUUCUAAUUUCUUUUCUUAAUCUAACUUUUUAUUGAAAAUAUGUUUGCUUUUAUUACAAGAACAAAUGAAGAAUCUUAUAACACAACAACAUCUUGAAUUGGCAGGAAUUGAUAUUCUAUUAAGUGAAGAUAUUGUUUAUCAAGGAUUAGGACUAGAAAAAUCAUGAUAUGUGCCAUGUUUUGAUAUAGAACCAUUUUCUUCAGAUUUUGUAGUAUCUAGAUAGAUCUCAUCGUUUAAAAUCUAUGACCACACAGUCUGAGAAUGAAAAAAGAUGAAGAAAUUCGAUAAUUAAAAGAAAAGCUUGAAAAGAAAGCUAAAGAUACAGAAGAAAUGGAAACUCAAUUGCAAAUAUUUCUGGAUGAAAGAGCUUCUCGAACAGAUAAUAUGAGUAAAAAAAUUUAAAACUUAUUUUAUCAUAUAAUUUUAAUUUUAUAUUUCUAUUUAUGUAUCUAAUCAUUAUCAUUCACUCUAUACAAGCACCUGACUUUGAGAGAAGUACUGCCAAGGAUUUCUUUUGUAAUUUUUUUGAUAUCAUGCUACUCAAAACUUUCAAGAGAAAAGUUCUUUGCGUCUGUACAUGACAUUGGAUCUACUUAAAAGUUGGUACUAUGAUUUUUGUAUCAAUUGAUUUGGUUAAUAAAAAAGAUUUUGUCUUCCUUUUUCUUGAAUUGUGAGCUAUCAUUGUGGUUAGUGUAUCCUAGUAAUUCGUAUAUUAUCGUGGUUAUCUUUCAUUGGAUUGGUGUAUCUAUUCAUGUAAUUAAAUAAUAGCAAAAACAUGUGAAUUAUGAUUGUGAUAGUUUUUUUUUUUUGGGUAAAAUUUGAUAGGGCAUAUCCUGAUAUCGUCCUUUAAUUAUCGAUUAGAAAUCAUAUCAGCCAGUAUGGAUUCUCGGAGCCGAAGUGGCACAUGCGCAUCUCAUACCCUUGGGAGAUGGCGGACCAUGCUCCAUCGCUCGGGAUCGUUUGAGAUGGUGCCUCAUAGCACAAAACUGCUCGAGAACGUGCGAAAUGACACUAUGCAGCACGAAACUGUACAGAUCGAUUUGCAUUGUACAAAGUAUACGGGUUGGUCAUCCAGAGCCUCAACGGUCAUUAGCGGAUCACAUAUGACUAACCCUUGAUCAUAGGUACAAAGGCCGACCUCGUAGCCAAGGCUAGGGGAUCAGACCUCGGAUACUAAAAACACUCUUAACUCAUCAUACUAACUUAAGCUUCUUAGGAUCGAGCAAGAAUCUCCCUCCCGACAUUGACUUAUAUACUAUAAGGUGACACCGAAGCAAGAAUCUAAGUCCAUGCUCUACCUUGGGUUGAUCCAGCAAACAAUGCUCCUACUCUACCCGACACCGAUUCCCUCACCUCAAAAGUCCACGUGGACGACAUUGUGUUCUCGGAAUCGAGCUGAGUCAUCAUGCUGACUCCCUCGACGGCAGCGCGAAAUUGCACAACAAAAGUAUCUAUUGCUGCAGUCAAAUAAUCACAGUAAUAACUAAACUAUUAUUGUGGUUGUCCUUUGCAUAGUAAAAGUAUCAUUACUUUAGUUGAAUAAUCACAGUAAUAGCUGACUAUUACUGUGGUUUUCUUUUGUUGGGUAAAAGUAUCUAUCACGAUAAUAACUAAAUUAUUAGUGAUUUUUAUUUGUAGGAUAAAAGAAUCUAUUACUGUAAUUAUGGAUCCACAGUGACAUAUAAACUAUUAAUGCAGACUUUUACCUACUAUUGUAAAAUCGAUAGUUAUAUCUUUUCACGAUGACACCUAUUAUCACGGUUUCUAAUCAUGAGAAUAAAAUUUACUACUGAUGAGGUAUUUUUUUGGUCCCAGCCACGUCCCAAUUGACGCACACCACGCCCUCGCCAAGUUAACAUGAGGAGUCCACACACCAAACAAGAUCCAUACCAAGGCAUUCCUCGGUACAUCCUAUCCCGGAAAGCUCGGGACGUCAUCGUAUGACGUCGUUCCGUGCAUUCCGGGACGACGACCGCACGAAGGUACUACCUCGCCCCUCGAGGAUUGGCUGGCGUGUCAAACCCGCGUAUGGCCAACCCUUGUACAAUAGUAUAAAAACUUCUGACCGACAUCUGGCUAGGGGGAGCCAAAAAAGAGAAUGGAAGAACAAUCGCGAACUUAGUCGUCGAGAGGCCAAAGUCGGGAACCACCCGACGAGGGCUUUAUAUGCAGGAGCGCGAUCGCCUUCGGAUGUCCGACCUCCCCGACCCGAGACGUACUCCCCAAAGACGGUGUCAGUAUCUCUACCGAGAAGCGCCCCCUCUCAGACCGCAUCCGCACCCUAACUUACAGACGAGACCGAUCGCGAGCUCCUAACAUCGACCCGUUGACCAGGCCGUGCAUCGGUUCACCAGCAAUUGCAGUUAAAACUACAGAAAUAUAUAAAUAAAAAUCAUAAUUACAAGUAUAAUUUGUUAUAAAAAAAUAUCUAUUAGUUCCGAAUCAGUAUCCCAUUCAAACAUCAAUGUCCUUACCUUUGUUCUUAUUUCACCCUCUCAAUAUACAUGAUCCAUCUUUAUCAUUUUUUCUACAUUAUUUUUUAUAUUUUAUAAAAAAAAUAAACUGUAUUGAUGCUCGACAUUUAUAAUUUAGAGUUUUAAUUUGCUAAAAUCAAGCACAAUAAGAAUCUCAUGGCCAAACUUUGACUAAAUCCUUCGUAAAUAAAUCUACCAUCAUCACACAAGAUGGGUCGAUACAUGCUUGAAUAAAUUAAUAGCUUCAUACAACAGACUAUGAUCGCCUGAAGGUAAUAAUCCUCCAUCAACACUGAUAUAAAUGAACUCAUUUCCUCAUGUAAAGAAUAUUAAAAGUACAAGAGAGACUAUCGAUGACAUCAUGAGUUGGCACCACUGUUCCUAUCAUUGCCAACUAUUUUCUAAGUCAAAAGGAUAAGUCGUAAUCCAGCCACAGAUGUGUUCUCCGGUGCUCAAACGCCAUCUUCUUUUCUCUCUUUUCCUUUGAAAGAGACAGUGCUGUUUGGAUCGUAGCAUUCUUUCUCUUACAAAGGAGUGAAUGGCAAAAAACACACAAUUAAUUUGUUAAAAUCAAGCACAAUAAUAAUCUCAUGGCCAAAGUUUGGCCAAAUCCUCCGUGAACAAAUCUAGAUCAUCACACAAGAUGGGUCGAGACAUGCUUCAAUAAAUUAAUAGGUUCAUACAGCAUGCUAUGAUCUCCCAAAGGUAAUAAUCCUCCAUCAGCACAGAUAUAAAUGAACUCAUUUCCUUAUGUAAUGAACAUUAGAGUACAAGAGAAACUAUCGAUGAUAUCAGGAGUUGGCACUGCUGGCCUUAUCAUUGUCAACUAUUUUUCUGAGACAAAAGGAUAAACGAUGACAGUCGUCAUCCACCCACAGAAGUGGUCGAGGUGUUCUCCGGUGCUCAAACACCAUCUUCCUUUCCUCUCGCUUUUCCUUUGGAAGAGACGAGUGCUUGUUGGAUCAUAGCACUCUUUCUCUUUCAAAGGAGUGCACGGCAAAAAAAACUUUCAUUUGAAAGAUAGCAUAGCAAUCACAUUAUUCUUCACGUAGCUGAGAUGCAUGAUGACCAUGUUUCCGGGAAAGAGAAAGAGAGUUUUGAUCUGAAUUCUCUUUGGAUAUGAGUAUUAUGUGAAGGAUUGGGAGAUAAGACCGAUGCUACAUUAAAGAUUCUUUUUUUUUUUGGUUUUUGUCGCUACUGAUAGUUUUGCUUUAUAUUUUAUAGGAUGCAUUUUCAUGUGGGUUUUAGGAUAUUAGAUUUAGUGAUUAAUAUAAUCAUUUGAAAAGAAAAAAAUCUAUUUUUUUCUAAUAUCAUGUUUAAAACAAAUAUUUUUUUAAGCAUUCACAAGAAAAAUAUGUCGAUCGACUUAUAAAACAAUGAGCCUUAGUUUAUUGAGUCCAGAAAUGAAAAUUCUAAUUUAUAAAUCUAAAGUAUUUUUCUUCGUUUAUAUAAAAAUAAUAAUUUUUAAUAAAAAAUAAAUAAUAAAAUUUAAAUUUAAAUCUUAAAGAUCCUUAUCAACUAAGCCAACCUCAUCUUGUUUUGUCAGAUCUCAGGAAGGAAAAGAAGAUGAAGAAACUACUGAUGGCUUCAUUUUAUUUCUUUUAAUUAAUAUAUGAGCGAAUUCUCAAAUAAAAUUUUUAUUUUUUAAGAUUUUUCUUAGAACACUUUUACUUUAAAAUUUUUUAAAAUAACACCUUGAUCAUUCGAAAAGAUUAUUUUAUCUAUUUCUUUUAUCGAAUAGAUUAAGGCUUUUCUAUUUAUAAUAGAUCAUAGAGAUUCAUACAAACACGAAAGGAUAUUUUUUUCUAUACUGCCUUCGACCACAGCCGUCCUUUGCCACGCACAAGAUUGGUUCUUCCACCUGCAUCCCUCGCAUGAGAAUUGUCACCCCUCUCAUUGCAUUCGGGGUCACCCCUAUUGAUUCUCGGUGAACAUCGUCCUCACAUGUUAGGUUUCAACAAAGUCAACGGUAGAAAUAAGAUCGAGAGGAUAAUGGUAAAAUAAUUAUUUUAUAAAAAAUAUUAUUUUAAAAACCUUUCGAAAUAAUAACUCUAAUGGAAAAUUUCAAAAAGUAAGGAAAAAACCCUUAAUGUAAUUACGAUUACUAUAUUUAGGAUAUUUGGUUGAAGAUUAAACAAAUCAGCAAAAUGUUAAAAAAAUAAAAAAAAAUGCCUCCUCUAGAUCUGUAAAUAAAUUAUUAGUUAAUUUACUGAUUUCUGCCUGUGAAUCCUCAACAUCUACCGACGUUGACCUAAUCAAUCUUUUCUCAAUGUCUCUAUCUAUCUUAUCUUUCUUUUUGUUGUUUGUUUACUUUUCUUAUCGCAUUAUAAGAGUGUAUAUACUUACAUUAACGGUUUAAAUAUCAGAAUCAAUCCCUUUGUUAUCUUAAUGAAGAACAUAUUAUCAUGUGCUCGAGUCGCUUCUCCUGCAAAUCAUCUGUUCUUUGUUAUCGAACCCCAAAAACAAAGCUAACUUAAGCAGAAAAGCUGGAGUUGCAUACCAAACUGGCUAUUAAAUCAAUGUUUAGCUUAUAAUAACUAAGAUUUAGGGAUUCUUUCACCGUAUAUUCGAUGAACGUGAAAGAGAUACAGUUCAUAAACAUAUUAUAUUUUUAGAAUUAAUGGAUACCCAUCUUUGUCAAAGACAUUGACUGUGUGAGAGUGACAGAAGCAAAGAGAAAGGCCACUCUUCUCCUCUCCAACCAUUCCCUCUCUUGGCUGUAGUCUUCUUCUGAAGUCAUCUUCGUCUUCCUGAUUUGCUUGGUUGGUGGUCGGUUGCAGGGCGAAGGGAUGGGGAUGGGGAGGCCGAGCGGAGCUUGGUCGACCCCGUGGUUGGUGGUGGUUCUUGUGCAUUGGCUCCUCUGCGCCACCGAGAGGAGGCGAGGGGCGGUGGUGGAGGCCUCCCAUGUGGAGUUUGCAUCCCUCCAAUCUGUUCCUGCCUCCGUCGUCGACAACAGGCUGAGGACUGGGUAUCACUUCCAGCCCCCGAGGAACUGGAUCAACGGUACGUUCCUCUCCUCCACCUCCUCCUCUUUGAUGCCCGGAGGCAUGCUUUGCCGGCGGCGCAUGUUAGCCGGGGGCCUGGUUCGGGGCUACAGUGCGCCUGUGGGUCCCGCCGGAACUGGAUCCGCCGGGUAACCCGUGUUGGUAUUAUUUUGGGGUUGACUUCCCCACGUAAUCGAGUGUUACGCGAUUCGUUAGACUGCUAAGAUUUCUUCUCUACCGUUUAAGCAUCUAAUCAACGUCUUUUUAACGGUGGAUUAAGCAAGAGGAAUCCGAGACCACCACGUAAGAGAAGCCGAUCCCCCCUUGUUUUACGCCGCCCUUUUCUGCAGCUCCACAGUAUCUUUGCAUUGUUAUGUAAUGGAUAAUGCCCUUGACAUUGUCAAUGAACAGCUGCUAGAAUUUACACCUUGUUAUUGGUCAGAUUUGUUUUAAUCGAAUGCCAACACUGAUGUGGUUUUUUAUGUCGUUGUCAUACUCUCCAUGGACGUGCCCAAAUGGGAUCAUCAUCCAAUGCACCAGAUCCAAAUGGUAUCAUCCUCUUCCUCUGAACCUUUCUUGGUCACAUAUGGAUUCGUGAAGCUAAUGGACGAGCAACCAAACCAGGACCCAUGUACUUCAAUGGCGUCUACCACCUCUUCUACCAGUACAACCCCAAUGGCUCCGUGUGGGGUAACAUCGUGUGGGCCCACUCGGUGUCGACCGACCUCGUCAACUGGAUAGCACUCGACCCGGCCAUCCGCCCCAGCAAGCCAUUCGACAUCAACGGAUGCUGGUCCGGCUCCGCCACCGUCCUCCCCGGCAACAGGCCUGUGAUCGUNNNN
rnacentral:lncRNA from 1 species